UAAACUGGCACAUUCAGCAAACAUUAC
rnacentral:piRNA from 1 species